GACAAGGUGGCCGAGUGGUUAAGGCGUUUGACUCGAAUUGGGUGCUGAAAGGCCGGAGGCUAUGCCGCCGGCGUUGUCAUCAUCCCGAAAUCAAAUUCAUUCGUGAGCCAGGGUUCAAAUCCCUGCCUUGUCG
rnacentral:tRNA from 1 species